GGGGGGGGAGCUGGUCGUUGUUCAUGGGGGGGGGAGCUGGUCGUUAUUCAGACUUAGGAUUGCAAGUGUCCAGGGUCAGGAGAGGGCGUGAGUGGGAAACCCAUUGCCGCAACUUGGCCCUGGUUUGUCCUCAUGGAUGAGGUGUUGGGACAGAGGCAUUCCACCUCACCCCCAGUCCUAAUUGCCUCCAUCCCUGAAGACACACCAGGGCCAAGUGAGGCUGUGGGUGACCAGGAGGAGGAAAGAGAAAGAGAGAGAGAGACAAUCAUGAUGAACUGAUGCAAUUAAUCAAAGAGGACAUGCGGUUCUAGAGGGAGGCAGCAGAGAAGAGGGCACAGGAGAGCAAGGCACAGAUGGAGAGGAUGUUCUCCCUUCUGGAGCGUUUGAUAGAAAAAUGAUAUGGUGAACCUCCAUAAAGAGGGACUUACUGUUCCGGAGCCUCCAGCAUACGAUGUUAACUGACACAGCGUCACGAACCUGUUUCACGCUGACAUGAGGUUCGACUGCAACGUGAAAUAAAUUUAAUAACUUUAAAACAAAGUGAUUAUAAAAUGUAAAAACUGAAAUUUAAACACUGAACUUUGAAUCACAAUGUUUUCCAGAAUAAACUGUUGAAAUCUGACUCUAAAUAAACUCCUUUCUGCUGACAGA